GGGGAAAAUUAAUAAAUUAAAUUUAAUAAAAAAAAUUUUAAUAUUAAAAAGAAAAUGGGGGUUUGAGUAUUUUUAAUAGAAAAAAUUAAUAGUUUUAUAGUUAAAUAUUACUGUAAAGGAAUUUAUAAAUAAAUGAAAUAUAAUUAAUGAAAAAGUAAAUUUAAAUUAUUGUAUCUUGUGUAUCAGAGUUUAUUAAAUAAUAAUAAUUUAUUUAAAUAAAUCUCGAAUUUAAAAGAGUUAAUUAAUUAAAAAAGUUAAUGUUGUAUAAUUAUUUUAAAUAAUUAAUUAGAAAUGAAAUGUUAAUCGUUUUUAAAUAUAUCUAGUUUUUUCAGAAAAAAAUUUAAUUUUAAAUUUAAAUAAUUUUAUAAUUAUUUAAUUAAUUAUAAAAAUUUAAAUUUUAAUAUUUUAGGGGAUAAGCUUUAAAUUAAAAAUUUAUAAUUAAAAAUAUUUAAAAUUAAAAUUUUUAAAAUUUAUAUUGUUUAGAAAUUAUAGUUUAUUAUAAAAAAUUUUAUUAAAAAAUAAAAUUUAAAAUAAGAAAAUUUAAAUUUUUAUGAAAAAAUAAUUUAUAAUUUAAUAAAAUUAGAAAUAAUGAUAAAAUUAGUAUAAUAUAAUAAAUUAAAAAAAAAAUUAUAAAUAAUUAAAUUAAAGGAAUUCGGCAAAAAUUUAUAUUCACUUGUUUAUCAAAAACAUGUCUUUUUGAUAAUAAUUUAAAGUCUAAUCUGCCCACUGAUAUUAUAUUAAAGGGCUGCAGUAUAUUGACUGUACAAAGGUAGCAUAAUCAUUAGUCUUUUAAUUGAAGACUUGUAUGAAAGAUUUGAUGAAAUAUAAACUGUCUCUAAUUUAUGAUUAGAAAUUAAUUUUUUAGUUAAAAAGCUAAAAUAACAUUAAAAGACGAGAAGACCCUAUAGAGUUUUAUAUUUUAUUUAAUUAAUAUUAAAUAUAUAAUUAAAUAUAUUAAUUAAGUAAAAUAUUGUGUUGGGGUGAUAGAAAAAUUUAAUAAACUUUUUUUAAAUUUAGACAUAAAUAAGUGGUUAGUUGAUCCAUUAAUAAUGAUUAAAAGAAAAAAUUACCUUAGGGAUAACAGCGUAAUAUUUUUUUUUAGUACACAUAAAAAAAAAAGUUUGCGACCUCGAUGUUGGAUUAAGAUAAAAUUUAAAUGCAAAAGUUUAAAAUUUUGAUCUGUUCGAUCAUUAAAAUCUUACAUGAUCUGAGUUCAAACCGGUGUAAGCCAGGUUGGUUUCUAUCUUUAAUAAAAAAAAAUAUUUUAGUACGAAAGGAUCAAAUAUUUAAAAUAAUUUUAUAAUAAUGAAUAUUAAUAAUAUAGUUUA
rnacentral:rRNA from 1 species